CCAGACUCCUACGGGAGGCAGCAGUGGGGGCUCUUGCACAAUGGUUUGCCCCCUGAUGCCGCGCCGCCGCGUGGGUGCAGGAGUGCUUCGGCCUGUAAAGCCCUAUCGGCAGGGAAGCAGCAAGACGGUCCCUGACUAAGAAGCCCCGGCUAACUACGUGCCAGCAGCCGCGGUAAUACGUAGGGGGCGAGCGUUAUCCGGAUUCACUGGGGGUAAAGGGAGCGGAGACGGCCAUGCAAGCCAGGGGUGAAAGCCCGGGGCCCAACCCCGGGACUGCUGUUGAAACUGCGUUGCUAGAGGGCGGGAGAGGCAAGGGGAAUUCCUAGGGGAGCGGUGAAAGGCGGAGAUAUUAGGAGGAACACCAGUGGCGAAGGCGGCUUACGGGACCGUGAAUGACGCUGAGGCUCGAAAGCGUGGGGAGCAAACAGGAUUAGAUACCCCCGUA
rnacentral:rRNA from 1 species